GACGAACGCUGGCGGCGUGCCUAAUACAUGCAAGUAGAACGCUGAAGGAGGAGCUUGCUUCUCUGGAUGAGUUGCGAACGGGUGAGUAACGCGUAGGUAACCUGCCUGGUAGCGGGGGAUAACUAUUGGAAACGAUAGCAAAUACCGCAUAAGAGUAGAUGUUGCAUGACAUUUGCUUAAAAGGUGCAAUUGCAUCACUACCAGAUGGACCUGCGUUGUAUUAGCUAGUUGGUGAGGUAACGGCUCACCAAGGCGACGAUACAUAGCCGACCUGAGAGGGUGAUCGGCCACACUGGGACUGAGACACGGCCCAGACUCCUACGGGAGGCAGCAGUAGGGAAUCUUCGGCAAUGGACGGAAGUCUGACCGAGCAACGCCGCGUGAGUGAAGAAGGUUUUCGGAUCGUAAAGCUCUGUUGUAAGAGAAGAACGAGUGUGAGAGUGGAAAGUUCACACUGUGACGGUAUCUUACCAGAAAGGGACGGCUAACUACGUG
rnacentral:rRNA from 1 species